UUUUUUAUUCCAGCUCAAUCAAAUGGCAGCCAGAGACUUGAGCUACUACAUCUAGAUACAGUCCAACCAAGCCACCAGCUAUUGCAUGAUAUGGGAAUAUCUAAAGUCGUGGAGCUGCUUUCCAAAGUGCUGGAAGAAAAUAAAUUGAUGAAAGCGGAAAUUACCAACCUGGGGAGUGAAGUGAGGGCGCUUAGGAGAGAGAUGGUGAGGCCGGUAGCACCAGAAGCUGCCGCUUCGUCCAUCAAGCUGCCUCUGAGGACAAUGGAGGAGUUUCAAUUAGCAGAGGCUGUUAUGAGAGAAACCCCCUGCGAAAAACAAAAGAUGAUCUUAACAUUCAGUCUAAUUGGAGGGCACACUGCAGAAGAGGCCGUAAGAAGGAUGUUGCAGAGUGGCCUAACAAAUAACCUGGCGUGUCGCUUCAACUGGGCAGGGAAAGGCUUCAAGGAAGCCUUCAAAAGCACUG